UACGGGGGGGAGCAAGCGUUGUUCGGAUUUACUGGGCGUAAAGGGCGCGUAGGCGGUCGUGACAAGUCACUUGUGAAAUCUCCGGGCUUAACUCGGAACGGUCAAGUGAUACUGUCGGACUAGAGUACAGAAGGGGCAACUGGAAUUCUCGGUGUAGCGGUGAAAUGCGUAGAUAUCGAGAGGAACACCUGGGGCGAAGGCGGCCAGCUGGGCCGUCCCUGACGCUGAGGCGCGAAGGCGUGGGGAGCGAACGGG
rnacentral:rRNA from 1 species